ensembl:lncRNA
GUUCAUAUUUCUCUCCACCAUUGAUUGAUACAUCCUGAAAGUAGUGACAAAAAAAGUGUAAACCACUUACACAAUGACAAUGGGAUGACAAAGUAGCGAUUCGAAUCCAACUUUAUUAGAUGUCAAAGGGCAUGCAAAUACAGGCUUCUGAACCCCAAAAAUGUGGUAGAUAUUUUUUCUUGUUUUCCAUCAGUUUGGUACUCUUUUUUUUUUACAAAACUACGUGCACCUUAAGUACUCAAUUCUGCAACGUACAAACCACAAAAAUACCAGUUUUACAUGAUCAAAUACUGCACAUAGAAAACAUUUACAGGUAUACAUUUCAGGUAUAAAAUGACAUUAUCCUUCAAGAUCUACAACACUUUCCUCUUUCAAACUCACUAUUUGAAUGAUGGGCCAGACCAGUAAGUAAAAACUGUUUAUUACCAACACCAGCCUUAGACCCCAAUAUCCCCUUGUCCAAUCAGGUGAUCCAUCGAUGAGCCUUUACAUCCACACUAUUGGCCAAAGCCUCAUCGAUUAAUCAUUGUGUGUGUGAAUACGUGUUAAAUCUAAAUAUCCAAUAGAUGAUCAAAAACAUUAAAGUUGCUGUGACAUUUUUCCAACAUUUCUGCAAUGUUACUGUGUUAUAUUGCUGCAUGUUUGAGAGGAGGGGUUGUUCCCUGGCUAGGGAUGACCAUAUGAAGGUCAUCUUUAAAGGGGGAAGCUACUGUGGUCUACAACAUGGCUUUGGGAGAUUCUCAUUUGUGUUUUGUGACAGACUGUCAGAAGGUGACAGACAAAAUGGUUGCUCAGGAACUUGUGUUGUGACUAAUGGCGAUUAGAAACGUGACUUAAUGUUGACAAACAGCAUUAUACAGCUGCAGUAGUAAAAUUUGCUCUGUGGAGUAAAAAAAACGAUAUUAAACAAUAUUCUUAUCCUUGCUAAAGGUUGACAAGUAGACGUAAAGACCGCACACUUUCUUAAAUAUUUUGUUUGUUUGUUUAUUGGUCAUCGUUAAAAAAAUGUUUUUGUUGUUCUCAGUGCAUUGAGUGCUUUGUGAGUCAAUGGUGCUCAGCUCUGAAAACUGUUUGUCAUUUUGAUAUGAUCCUGCUGAACUAGAUGAUAUCAACGUUUGAAUUACACACUGACUAGCGGUACCCUCCAAAUAGUGGACUAGUCCAGUGUUUAUUUCUUUAACACUAUAGUGGUGCCUACGUUAAGAUUUUCAACAUUUAUGGGGUUUUCCUGAUUUGUGAAAGGAGAGCACAGCAUUCCUGGGAACUCCCCCUGCCGUUCAAACUGUACUGAUGUUUGUCCAUAUGGUGUAGUGGAAACCAGUCAGAGGUACUGUAUCUAGGGGACUUAAGGCUGGCCCUACUAGUCACGGCCUAACUGACAUAACAUAAGUCCUCUGACACAAGAACAUACAUUAGUAUUGCCAGAAGAAUAACUCUGUAUCAGCAGGAUGGAAGGCUAAAUACAUGCUACAUUAGAUACAAUUGUUCACAUUUCUUGCAAUUUACAGAUUUCCCAAGACACAUUGCUGAGUAUAUUUCUAAAUUGAUUAUAUCAUCAUUAUCAUCAACAUAUUGUAAAUACAAGAAAUCCUUCAAAAUAACCAUGCGGUAAAAUGUUUUAAGGUUUUUCUAAAGUACAAACGUGUAUUAAAUUACAGUUAUAAGCUCCAUAAAUAAAUUGGUUAAUUCAGUUUCAUUAAUAAAUCAAUUCAUUCAGCUUCACUAAUAAAUCUGUUAAUUCAGCUUCAUUAAUAAAUUGGUUAAUUCAGCUUAAUUAACAAAAUCGGUUAAUUCAGCUUCAUUAAUAAAAUCAGUUAAUUCAGCUUCAUUAAUAAAUAGGUUAAUUCAGCUUCAUUAAUAAAUUGGUUAAUUCAAAUUCAGCUUAAUUAAUGAAAUCCGUUAACUCAGCUUCAUUAAUAAAUUGGUUAAUUCAAAUUCAUUGAUACUGUUGUUAAUUCAGGGGAGCCGAUAUUAUCUCAAUUCAAAUUGAAUAUAUUAAUCGAUUUCAUGACAUCAUGUCUCUUAUUCAUGCCUCAUUUAUAAGGUCAACCAUAGAGCCUAUUGUUUUAUAUAUAACCAAAAGGUAAAGACACAUUAUAACAGGGACUGAACCAAUACAGGCCAGUCCACCUGGAGAAAAGACAUCAGUGAAACAGUAGCAACAACAAGCGACACCCCAAUACAGUGUAAUGAUGUAGAAAUACAAUCAGAAAACUACAUCUACAGAGAGAUACUUAUUUAAUUACUUUUUAAAAACUUGUUUUGUUCAAACUUUCAACCAUGUACCAGUGCUACAACAGUAGAGCAAUGUCUCCUUAAGAAAAUAAGGCCACUGUAAACUGGACAAGCCCUCAUUUAGAACGAGAAUAUAAAGACACAUUUCCCUAUUAUCACUUUGCAGUCGUGACUCCACAACUCACUCCUCUCAAAUGAUUCUUCUCCCCUCAUUACAAAAAUAAAAUACAAUUUUAGUAUAAUACUCAUUAAAAGAUAAUGAAUUUGCAGUUGGUUUCGGACAUAAUAACCCAGUUGCUUGAAGAAAGUCUCUCAAAAACACUGAGAAAAGUUCUAGACGAUUCUACAGGAGAUUCUACUGGAGAAUAUACAGGAGAUUCUACUGGAGAAUAUACAGGAGAUUCCACAGGAGAUUCCACAGGAGAUUCUACAGGAGAUUCCAUAGGAGAUUCUACAGGAGAUUCCACAGGAGAUUCUACAGGAAAUUCCACAAGAGAUUCUACAGGAGAUUCCAUAGGAGAUUCUACAGGAGAUUCCAUAGGAGAUUCUACAGGAGAUUCCACAGGAGAUUCUACAGGAAAUUCCACAAGAGAUUCUACAGGAGAUUCCAUAGGAGAUUCUACAGGAGAUUCUACAGGAGAUUCCACAGGAGAUUCUACAAGAGAUUCCACAGGAGAUUCUACAGGAGAUUCCACAGGAGAUUCUACAGGAAAUUCCACAGGAGAUUCUACAAGAGAUUCCACAGGAGAUUCUACAGGAGAUUCCACAGGAGAUUCUACAGGAGAUUCCAUAGGAGAUUCUACAGGAGAUUCCACAGGAGAUUCUACAGGAGAUUCCACAGGAGAUUCUACAGGAGAUUCCACAGGAGAUUCUACAGGAGAUUCCACAGGAGAUUCUACAGGAGAAUCCACAGGAGAUUCUACAGGAGAGCAGGCUUGUGGACAGGGAUACAUUUCAAAAAAAAAAAAAAAAAAAAAAAAAGCGAAACAAUGAAAUGAUUUCUAUAAAAACGGCUCGUAAUUCAACGAUGACAUGAGACAUCGUCAGUGUGUGAGGAUACAUUCACCACUUCAUUGUGUAGUAUCUUAAAGCUGUGGCCAAUGAGUGGCAGGAGAACAUAAACAGACUAUUCAAAGCUGACUAAGCCAUACCUGCAAAUAGUCAAUAUGCCCCAUUCAUUCCAACUCCCUGUUUAGGAGCAUCAACAUACAUGCCAGCCACGCAAGAUAGUACAAGAUAGUACAAGAUAGUACAAGAUAGUACACGAUAGUACACGAUAGUACAAGAUAGUACACGAUAGUACACGAUAGUACAAGCAAACUACAUGUUAUUCCAUCCACUUGAUCCCUUUCUGAUCAUCAGCCUCUCUUCUGUCUCUCACACACUCAAACACAUACUUCUUCUCACUAAAUCACUCUCAUCAAACCCUGUGCUGACAAUCAAUUUCUGCUUGCAUUAAUAAGGCACCAACAAUCUUAACCUUCCAUCCAGCUCCGGGGUGAAGUUUCCCCUAGCUACAGAUCUAGGAUCAGCUUCCCCGCUCUCAAUCCUAACCUUACCCAUUAGUGGGGGAAAUGCAAACAUGACCAAAGAUCUGUGUCUAAGAGCAACUUCACCCUACUCCAUCAAUCCAUCUGGGGAUGUGCUAGGUUCAUCCUGCUGACAAGGACUCACCCAGCUCCACUGUCGUGACGUCACCCAGCUCCACUGUCGUGACGUCACCCAGCUCCACUGUCGUGACGUCACCCAGCUCCACUGUCGUGACGUCACCCAGCUCCACUGUCGUGACGUCACCCAGCUCCACUGUCGUGACGUCACCCAGCUCCACUGUCGUGACAUCACCCAGCUCCACUGUCGUGACAUCACCCAGCUCCACUGUCGUGACAUCACCCAGCUCCACUGUCGUGAUAUCACCCAUCCCC